GGCUUCGGCUGUGACUAGACAUGGAGUAGACUGAGCAAUAUACAAAUACAAUCUGAUUUCACAAAAUUUGCAAAUGAAAUGAAAGGACAACAACUAUGAUACAUGAUACAUGAACUCACUAUUGUGAAAGAGUAAUAAAAUUGGGAACGCGAGUGGAAGUCAGCAAGGGUAAACAUCUGACCCAACAGUUCAUUCAGGGUUGUAAACAGAAAGGACUUCACAGCUCAGACGGGAUAGAAGAAGGAACUUGAAGGGAUUGUAGAGGGCAGAAGAGGCAGAGGCAAGCUCCAUCUUGUCCCUAAAGAUUCCACUGGCCCUAUUGUGGUUGUUGAAGAACGGUCACGGGAGUUCAUCAGCACUCGUGUCCAAGGGAGCCUAGAUCCUUUCUGAGAAGCAAGGAUAGCAUGUAUUCAGCACACGUGUAUUGAUUGGUUACUGUGUGCAAAGCACAGCGGGCAUCCAGACAAAUGGCAACCUGUGUGUGUGUAUGGUGGGUGUGCGGUGAACUCUAGCAGGGACACAGAAAGCUUGAGUCCCCAAGUGAGACUAUCUAUCACUCAGUAGGUUUCUGGAGGGUAGCCCCAUGCCAAAGAUUUGAGUAAACCCAG
rnacentral:lncRNA from 1 species